rnacentral:miRNA from 2 species
UCACGGAAAACGAGGGAGCAGCCA